AUUGAACGCUGGCGGCAUGCCUUACACAUGCAAGUCGAACGGCAGCACGGGUGCUUGCACCUGGUGGCGAGUGGCGAACGGGUGAGUAAUACAUCGGAACAUGUCCUGUAGUGGGGGAUAGCCCGGCGAAAGCCGGAUUAAUACCGCAUACGAUCUACGGAGGAAAGCGGGGGACCUUCGGGCCUCGCGCUAUAGGGUUGGUCGAUGGCUGAUUAGCUAGUUGGUGGGGUAAAGGCCUACCAAGGCGACGAUCAGUAGCUGGUCUGAGAGGACGACCAGCCACACUGGGACUGAGACACGGCCCAGACUCCUACGGGAGGCAGCAGUGGGGAAUUUUGGACAAUGGGCGAAAGCCUGAUCCAGCAAUGCCGCGUGUGUGAAGAAGGCCUUCGGGUUGUAAAGCACUUUUGUCCGGAAAGAAAUCCUUGGCCCUAAUACGGUCGGGGGAUGACGGUACCGGAAGAAUAAGCACCGGCUAACUACGUG
rnacentral:rRNA from 1 species